UACGAAGGGGGCUAGCGUUGCUCGGAAUCACUGGGCGUAAAGGGUGCGUAGGCGGGUCUUUAAGUCAGGGGUGAAAUCCUGGAGCUCAACUCCAGAACUGCCUUUGAUACUGAAGAUCUUGAGUUCGGGAGAGGUGAGUGGAACUGCGAGUGUAGAGGUGAAAUUCGUAGAUAUUCGCAAGAACACCAGUGGCGAAGGCGGGUCUCUGGGCUGACACUGACGCUCAUGCACGAAAGCGUGGGGAGCAAACAGG
rnacentral:rRNA from 1 species